UCAGUUUCCAGGAGCGGCAAGUGAGGAAUAUGAAAUAACCUUAUGGCUGAAUCAGGGUGAAGGGGAAGCUUGUAAGCAUGGAAGACGCUCUACUCAAACUAAAAAGUUCAAGUUCUGAUCCAGCAGAUGAAGAGGGAGGCCUGAGAGGCUGCUGUUCUAACUCGCUCCCAGGUGACUUCCAUGCUGCUGAUCCGCAGACCACAUUUUGAGUGCCCAGAUUGUAGUAGAUGAGGUUGAGUGGACAGGCUGGGGCCAGAUUCCAUGGAGCCUCGUGGGCCGUGUUAAGGAUUUUUAUUUUUUAUUUUUGUUUUAUUUUAUUUUAUUUUUUUGAGACGGAGUCUCACUUUGUCGCCCAGGCUGGAGUGCAGUGGCUCGAUUUCGGCCCACUGCAACCUCCGCCUCCCAGGUUCAAGUGAUUCUCCUACCUCAGCCUCCCGAGUAGCUGGGAUUACAGGCGCCGGUCACCGCGCCCGGCUAAUUUUUGUAGUUUUUUUUUUUUUUUUUUUUUUGAGUAGGGAUGGGGUCUCACCAUCUUGGCCAGGCUGGUCUUGAACUCCUGACCUCGUGAUCCACCCGCCUCGGCCUCCCAAAGUGCUGGGAUUACAGGCGCGAUCCACCCGCCUCGGUCUCCCAAAGUGCUGGGAUUACAGGCGUGAGCCACCGCGCCCGGCCAAGGACUUUUAUUGGUUUUUAUUUUUGGUUUUGUUUUUUUCUGAGACAGGGUUUCGCUCCGUCGCCCAGGCUGGAGUGCAGUGACGCCAUAUGGGCUCACUGCAACCUUAGCCUCCCGGGUUCAAGCGAUCCUCCUGCCUCAGCCUCUUAAGUAGCUGUGAUUACAGGUGCGCACUACCAUGCCUGGCUAAUUUUUGUAUUUUUAGUAGAGAUGGGGUUUCACCAUGUUGGUCAGGCUGGUCUCGAACUCCUGACCUCAAGUGAUCCAUCCACCUCGGCCUCUCAAAUUGUUGGGAUUACAGGCAUGAGCCACCACACCUGGCCUGAAAAAGAUAUUUCAAGAUGGAGAGAGAGAGGGGUUAGCUGUGUCACGUGUCCCUGAGUUGAAGAAGAUGAGGAAAGAGAAUUGACAGUUGAGUUUGGCAAGGGUCUGGUCCCUGCGGACCUUGAUAAGAGCUGUUGCAUUAGAGUGUUCAGGAAGAUAAUUUGUAAUGAAAUGUAUUUCGAAUACAGAUGCUCUUUGAUUUACGAUGGGGUUACAUCCCGAUAAACCUAUCAUAAUCAAGUCAGGGGCUGUCUGUAGAGGGAUCUCUAGGAUAUCCCCUAGGGGGCAGUGUUACCCUGGUAACCGUCAAGUGUAACCAGUAGAACUGCCCUCUUGUGAGACCCUUUUUCAGUGCUGGAGCAAACUAGAAUACACACAGGAUGGAAUCAUACUAUACAGUUACCGUGCAACUUGCUAUUUCCACUUAACCAUCUAUACACGUAUACCUAACUUUUGUUUUUAGUAGCUACAUGAUUCAUAGUGCAACUCUGCCAUAGUAUAAUCAACGGUUAUCCUACUGAUGGACAAUUCCUGGACUUUCCUGAGUUUUGCCACUGUGAUGAUGCAGUAAAUGUCCCUGAAUCAGUAUCCUUAAGACUGGAUCUUUAGUGAAGCAUAGUUUUCAAAAAAUGACAUUUGUGAGUACAGUGUCUCACCCCAGUAACCCCAGCACUUUGGGAGGCCGAGGUGGGAGGACUGCUUGAGCCCAGGAGUUUGAGGCUAG
rnacentral:lncRNA from 10 species